CCUACGGGAGGCUGCAGUGAGGAAUAUUGGUCAAUGGACGCAAGUCUGAACCAGCCAAGCCGCGUGCAGGAAGACGGCUCUAUGAGUUGUAAACUGCUUUUGUACGGGGGUAAACGCAGAUACGUGUACCUGUCUGAAUGUAUCGUACGAAUAAGGAUCGGCUAACUCCGUGCCAGCAGCCGCGGUAAUACGGAGGAUUCAAGCGUUAUCCGGAUUUAUUGGGUUUAAAGGGUGCGUAGGCGGUCGGUUAAGUUAGAGGUGAAAUCCCGGGGCUCAACUUCGGAAUUGCCUUUGAUACUGGUCGGCUAGAGUGUAGUUGAGGUAGGCGGAAUGUAUGGUGUAGCGGUGAAAUGCUUAGAGAUCAUACAGAACUCCGAUUGCGAAGGCAGCUUACCGGGCUACUUCUGACGUUGAGGCACGAAAGCGUGGGUAGCGAACAGGAUUAGAUACCCCAGUAGUC
rnacentral:rRNA from 1 species